GACGAACGCUGGCGGCGUGCCUAAUACAUGCAAGUCGAACGCAGUGGGGACGGGUGAGUAACACCUGGCUAACCUCCCAUCAGAGGGGAUAACACUUGGAAACAGGUGCUAAACCGAUACUGAUGGAUGGACCCGCGGUGCAUUAGCUAGUUGUUUAUGUAACGGCUCACCAAGGCCACGAUGCAUAGCCGACCUGAGAGGGUGAUCAGCCACACUGGAACUGAGACACGGGCCAGACUCCUACGGGAGGCAGCAGUGGGGAAUCUGCGGCAAUGGGCGAAAGUCUGACCGAGCAACGCCGCGUGAGUGAAGAAGGUUUGCGGGUCGUAAAGCUCUGUUGGUAGGGAAGCGGUAUCUAACCAGAAAGCCACGGCUAACUACGUGCCAGCAGCCGCGGUAAUUC
rnacentral:rRNA from 1 species